ACUGCUGACCGAGAAGCUUUGCAACUGACACACGCCCCCUCCGACACAUGAUCAGUACUGACUGCCUCUUUUCACCUGCACGAGCUCAGAUCCAGGGUUUGAAUACCCAGCAGUGCUAUUGAUAAGUCAAGAGUCUACAUGCAGUCUUAUCAGGAUCUGCGUCCUGUCCAGGGUGUGUGUCCCCUGCAUUGUUCCCAGUGAUUCUGGGGAAGCCGGACUUGCCUCAACUUUGGUCAUGAUUGGAGCAGUGGCAUUGGAACUGGACAUUGGAGCAACAGAAGAGGAUUCACUGGUCUGACAAAUCCUGGUUUCUCCGAUGGCUUGGCCACAUAUGCAUCAGUUACCCAUGGAAGAUAUGGCACCAGGAGGCACUGCAGGACGAUCCAUCAAUCUUGGGAUGUCCGAAAGCUAGGACUUGCUGUUCCACUUCAGCUUAACCAGGGGCCAUCGGAAAACACUUGGAAAAAAAAAAGAAAUACACACAAGACAGGGUGCCAGUCCAUGACAGAAUACCACAAACUUCCUAUUUAUUCAUUCAAUCACA